AUAAAGGCCCUUUUCAGGGCCAACCCACUUUUACAGAAAAGCUAAG
rfam:Lingula anatina scaffold1394, whole genome shotgun sequence.